AACGAACGCUGGCGGCAGGCCUAACACAUGCAAGUCGAGCGAGGUAGCAAUACCUAGCGGCGGACGGGUGAGUAACGCGUGGGAACGUGCCCUUUGCUACGGAAUAGCCCUGGGAAACUGGGAGUAAUACCGUAUGUGCCCUUCGGGGGAAAGAUUUAUCGGCAAAGGAUCGGCCCGCGUUGGAUUAGGUAGUUGGUGGGGUAAUGGCCUACCAAGCCGACGAUCCAUAGCUGGUUUGAGAGGAUGAUCAGCCACACUGGGACUGAGACACGGCCCAGACUCCUACGGGAGGCAGCAGUGGGGAAUCUUAGACAAUGGGCGCAAGCCUGAUCUAGCCAUGCCGCGUGAGCGAUGAAGGCCUUAGGGUUGUAAAGCUCUUUCGUGGGGGAAGAUAAUGACUGUACCCCAAGAAGAAGCCCCGGCUAACUCCGUGCCAGCAGCCGCGGUAACAC
rnacentral:rRNA from 1 species